CCCUUAGAUGUUCUGGGCCACACGCGCGUUACACUGAUGCAUUCAACGAGUCUAAAACCUGCUCUGAUAGGGGUGGGUAAUCUUUUGAAUGUGCAUCGUGAUUGGGAUAGAUGAUUGCAAUUUUUCAUCUUCAACGAGGAAUGCCUAGUAAACGCAAGUCAUCAGCUUGCAUUGAUUACGUCCCUGCCCUUUGUACACACCGCCCGUCGCUCCUACCGAUUGAAUGAUCCGAUGAAUAUCAUGGAUUGAGGAUGCAAGUAGGUUCGCCUAUCUUCAUCUUCGAGAAGUGAAGUAAAUCUUAUCAUUUAGAGGAAGGAGAAGUCGUAACA
rnacentral:rRNA from 1 species